AGGUUUUGAAAACCCCUAUAUCAAUGGAUAUGCUUGGAUGCAUUUUCAAUGGAUCAGGAAGACCGAUAGACAAUGGUCCUCCUAUAUUGCCUGAGGCUUACGUGGAUAUUUCAGGAAGUUCAAUCAACCCUAGCGAGAGAACCUAUCUUGAAGAGAUAAUUCAGACAGGGAUAUCUACGAUUGAUGUCAUGAACUCCAUCGCCCAAGGACAGAAGAUUCCUCUCUUCUCUGCUACUGGGCUUCCUCAUAAUGAAAUAGCCGCCCAGAUUUUGUCAUCAGGCUGGUCUAAUGAAGCGGUUAGAGAAGUCUGUAAAUCUCAUGGAGGAUGGAGUGGAGGACAAUUUUGCCAUUGUUUUUGCAGCUAUGGGAGUCAACAUGGAGAUAGCUCAGUUCUUCAAACGUGAUUUUGAAGAAAAUGGUUCAAUGAAGAGAGUGACCCUUUUUCUAAACUUGGUACACGAAUCCUUGACUUCAGGUCCUUCUUAUGCUAUUGACAUAACAAGGGAGGUACACAUUUUCCUUGAAAGUAUGAUACAUGAGCCUAGUUCAUUUUUGUCAAAUUCCAUGUAUGAUAGUGAUGUUAAUUUUUUGUUUUUGUGUUACCAUUUUACAUUUGAACCAUGACCAUAUGCAAUCUGAGGUGUGGGGAGGCUCAUGAGGUUCCUUGGAGAUCUUUCUCAGUUGUCUCUAGCAUCCCUAGAUUAAGCUGAGAAAAUGACCUUGUAUGCAAGGUUGGUCAUCUUGUGCACAAUGUGUAUUAAUCAUUUACUUUGUGCUUCCACAAAAAUUGGACACAUGCCAUGAUGGUUUGUGAUCUGAAUUUUUGGUGAGGAAAAUUGUUUGACAGUCAUGUUGAAGGUGAUACUUUUGUCCUU